GAAACGACUGCUAAGACUGGAUAGGAGACAAGAAGGCAUCUUCUUGUUUUUAAAAGACCUAGCAAUAGGUAUGCUUAGGGAGGAGCUUGCGUCACAUUAGUUAGUUGGUGGGGUAAAGGCCUACCAAGACUAUGAUGUGUAGCCGGGCUGAGAGGUUGAACGGCCACAUUGGGACUGAGACACGGCCCAAACUUCUACGGGAGGCAGCAGUAGGGAAUUUUCGGCAAUGGAGGAAACUCUGACCGAGCAACGCCGCGUGAACGAUGAAGUAUUUCGGUACGUAAAGUUCUUUUAUUAGGGAAGAAUAAAUGAUGGAAAAAUCAUUCUGACGGUACCUAAUGAAUAAGCCCCGGCUAACUAUGUGCCAGCAGCCGCGGUAAUACAUAGGGGGCAAGCGUUAUCCGGAAUUAUUGGGCGUAAAGGGUGCGUAGGCGGUUAAAUAAGUUUAUGGUCUAAGUGCAAUGCUCAACAUUGUGAUGCUAUAAAAACUGUUUAGCUAGAGUAAGAUAGAGGCAAGUGGAAUUCCAUGUGUAGUGGUAAAAUGCGUAAAUAUAUGGAGGAACACCAGUAGCGAAGGCGGCUUGCUGGGUCUUUACUGACGCUGAGGCACGAAAGCGUGGGGAGCAAACAGGAUUAGAUACCCUGGUAGUCCACGCCGUAAACGAUGAGUACUAAACGUUGGGUAAAACCAGUGUUGAAGUUAACACAUUAAGUACUCCGCCUGAGUAGUACGUACGCAAGUAUGAAACUUAAAGGAAUUGACGGGACUCCGCACAAGCGGUGGAUCAUGUUGUUUAAUUCGAAGGUACCCGAAAAACCUCACCAGGUCUUGACAUGCUUCUGCAAAGCUGUAGAAACACAGUGGAGGUUAUCAGUUGCACAGGUGGUGCAUGGUUGUCGUCAGCUCGUGUCGUGAGAUGUUGGGUUAAGUCCCGCAACGAGCGCAACCCUUACUGUUAGUUACCAGCACGUAAUGGUGGGGACUUUAGCAAGACUGCCAGUGAUAAAUUGGAGGAAGGUGGGGACGACGUCAAAUCAUCAUGCCCCUUAUGACCUGGGCUACAAACGUGAUACAAUGGCUGUUGCAAAGGGUAGCUGAAGCGCAAGUUUUUGGCGAAUCUCAAAAAAACAGUCUCAGUUCGGAUUGAAGUCUGCAACUCGACUUCAUGAAGUUGGAAUCGCUAGUAAUCGCGAAUCAGCAUGUCGCGGUGAAUACGUUCUCGGGGUUUGUACACACCGCCCGUCA
rnacentral:rRNA from 1 species